rnacentral:rRNA from 1 species
GGCCUAUCAGGUUGUAGCAAGUGUAACGCACUUGUUAGCCUACAACGGGUACGGGCCAUGAGAGUGGUUGCCCGGAGAUGGACUCUGAGACAUGAGUCCAGGCCCUACGGGGCGCAGCAGGCGCGAAAACUUCGCAAUGUGCGCAAGCACGACGAGGGAAUCCUAAGUGCCUAUGCUUUGCAUAGGCUGUUCUCCUGUCUAAAAAACAGGGGGAGUAAGGGCUGGGUAAGACGGGUGCCAGCCGCCGCGGUAAUACCCGCAGCCCAAGUGGUGAUCGUUAUUAUUGGGUUUAAAACGUCCGUAGCUGGUCUAGUAAAUUCCUGGGUAAAUCGAAUUGCUUAACAAUUCGAAUUCCGGGUAGACUGCUAGACUUGGGACCGGAAGAGGUCAGAAGUACUUCUGGGGUAGGGGUAAAAUCCUGUAAUCCUGGAGGGACUAUCAGUGGCGAAAUUUCGGAAGCAAAUCUUCCUCAUUUAUCGUUGCUUCCGCAACGCUAAGGCGUCUGACUAGAACGGAUCCGACAGUAAGGGACGAAGCCCUGGGGCGCAAACGGGAUUAGAUACCCCGGUAGUCCAGGGUGUAAACGCUGUAGGCUUGGUGUUGGGGGUCCUAUGAGGACAUCCAGUGCCGGAGAGAAGUUGUUAAGCCUACUACCUGGGGAGUACGGUCGCAAGACUGAAAC